GAUCAUGGCUCAGGAUGAACGCUAGCGACAGGCUAACACAUGCAAGUCGAGGGGCAGCACGGGAGUAGCAAUACUUGGUGGCGACCGGCGCACGGGUGAGUAACGCGUAUGCAACCUACCUAUCAGAGGGGAAUAACCCGGCGAAAGUCGGACUAAUACCGCAUAAAACAGGGGCACCGCAUGGUGAUAUUUGUUAAAGAAAUUCGCUGAUAGAUGGGCAUGCGUUCCAUUAGGUAGUUGGUGAGGUAACGGCUCACCAAGCCGACGAUGGAUAGGGGAACUGAGAGGUUGGUCCCCCACACUGGUACUGAGACACGGACCAGACUCCUACGGGAGGCAGCAGUGAGGAAUAUUGGUCAAUGGGCGGGAGCCUGAACCAGCCAAGUCGCGUGAAGGAAAAGAAGGAUCUAUGGUUCGUAAACUUCUUUUGCAGGGGAAUAAAGUGCAGGACGUGUCCUGUUUUGUAUGUACCCUGAGAAUAAGGAUCGGCUAACUCCGUGCCAGCAGCUGC
rnacentral:rRNA from 1 species